rnacentral:rRNA from 1 species
GACGAACGCUGGCGGCGUGCUUAACACAUGCAAGUCGAGCGGUAAGGCCCUUUCGGGGGUACACGAGCGGCGAACGGGUGAGUAACACGUGGGUGACCUGCCCUCAGCUCUGGGAUAAGCCCGGGAAACUGGGUCUAAUACCGGAUAUGACUCCAUGACGCAUGUUGUGGGGUGGAAAGUCUUGUGCGGCUGAGGAUGGGCCCGCGGCCUAUCAGCUUGUUGGUGGGGUGAUGGCCACCAAGGCGACGACGGUAGCCGGCCUGAGAGGGCGACCGGCCACACUGGGACUGAGAUACGGCCCAGACUCCUACGGGAGGCAGCAGUGGGGAAUCUUGCGCAAUGGGCGAAAGCCUGACGCAGCGACGCCGCGUGAGGGAUGACGGCCU